AAAAAUUUAGUUAAAUAUAUAACGCUAAUUUGUCAAAUUAGAAUUAUUUUAAAAAUAAUUUUUU
rnacentral:tRNA from 1 species